rnacentral:rRNA from 1 species
AUGUCCGGAUCCAUCCUUCAAGGCUGGUGGACGGCCUCUUCUGUCACAGAGGAGGACAUCACGAAGCUUAGGGAGGCAAGGUACUUGACUGCGGAAAUCCUUCACAGGCUUCCUGCUCAAGGGCAGGUUAUCCCUACUCCCAAAUCCAAUGAGAGGGUCGUGUUUAUCCCUCACUUCCUCCGAGGGCUAGGCUUCGGUCUUCAUCCCUUUGUUAGAGGGCUCAUGUUCUAUUACGGGCUAGAUUUUCACGAUCUAGCUCCGGACUCCUUCCUUCACAUCUCGUCAUUCAUUCUCGUGUGUGAGGCCUUCCUCCGCAUCACUCCACACUUCGACUUAUGGCUCAAGACCUUCAAUGUGAAGUCGAAGACAAUCGACGGGAGACACGCGGAGUGCGGAGGUGCUACAAUAAGCAAAUUUACCAAUGUUUUAUGGCCAAAGGGUUCCUUCCCGGAAGCUUCCGACCUAUGGCAACGAGAGUGGUUUUAUAUUACAGCACCUCGAGGUAGAAAGUGGGCGGCUGCACCUGUCUUCCGGUCCGGUCCUCCGCCGCAGCUUGCAUCGUGGGUCAACAAGGGGCUGGACUGGGGAUCGCUUGAUGAAGUGCGGACAUUGCAAGGCCGUAUUCAGGAUCUCAUCGAGAAGGACAUCAGUCUUGUCAAAGUAAUCCAAGUAAUGCUAGUCCGUCGGGUCCUACCAUGCCAGUGA